GACGAACGCUGGCGGCGUGCUUAACACAUGCAAGUCGAACGGAAAGGCCCUGCUUUUGUGGGGUGCUCGAGUGGCGAACGGGUGCGUAACACGUGAGUAACCUGCCCUUGACUUUGGGAUAACUUCAGGAAACUGGGGCUAAUACCGGAUAGGAGCUCCUGCUGCAUGGUGGGGGUUGGAAAGUUUCGGCGGUUGGGGAUGGACUCGCGGCUUAUCAGCUUGUUGGUGGGGUAGUGGCUUACCAAGGCUUUGACGGGUAGCCGGCCUGAGAGGGUGACCGGCGUCAUUGGGACUGAGAUACGGACCAGACGGCUACGGUAGACAGCAGUGGGGAGUAUUGCACAAUGGGCGGAAGCCUGAGGCAGAGACGCCGCGUGCGGGAUGACGGCCUUCGGGUUGUAAACCGCUUUAGCCUGUGACGAAGCGUGAGUGACGGUAAUGAGUAAAGAAGCACCGGCUAACUACGUG
rnacentral:rRNA from 1 species